AUGGAAAGCAAUAGAGCUCCUGGCCCCGACAAUAUACCCGCAGAGUUUUAUAAACACUGCCGGGACUUUGUUAAAAAUGAUAUUAUGCAUUUAUUUGAAGCAUUUCAUAGUAAUACCCUAGAUGUGGCUCGGCUGAACUAUCGGGUGAUCACCCUGAUCCCUAAGAUAAAUGGGGCUAAGAAAAUUCAGCAAUAUCGCCCUAUAUGCCUCCUUAGAUGCCCCUACAAGUUGAUUACCAAGGUUUUGGAUAAUAGAGUUGCGGUAUUUGCUGACAAAAUGAUUAGCAGAUACCAGAAUGCUUUCAUCAAACACAAAAACAUCAUGGAUGGCAUCUUCACCCUCCAUGAGGUGUUGCAUCAUACCCACGUUAAGAAAAAAACUGGGAUAGUUUUAAAGUUGGACUUCGAGAAGGCCUACGACAAGAUUAAUUGGGACUUUCUCCUUGAGUGCCACCGUAACCGUGGUUUCGGAGUAACCUGGUGUAAUUGGAUAGAAAAAAUACUGCAUAAUGGCAUCUUGAGCAUUAAACUUAACAAUGAGACGGGCCCCUACUUUCAGAGCCAUAAAGGGGUCCGUCAGGGGGACCCUCACUCUCCCUUUCUUUUUAAUAUGGCUGUAGAAGCCUUGUCGAAGAUGGUCACUAAUGCGCAGAAAGAAAAGAUGAUUACUGGGCUAGCGCCUGACCUGAUAGAGGGAGGGGUGGCCAUUCUUCAAUAUGCAGAUGACACGGUGAUCUGCUUUGAGCAUGAUAAAAAUGCGGCCAUUAAAUGCUACUUUAUAUGUUUGAACUUAUGUCAGGUCUGA
rnacentral:rRNA from 1 species